AAUGAAAAAUAAAAUUGCAUUCGACAAUAUCUUCCUGGUUUCAAUGAACUACAUUAUAACUAACAACGAUAUAAUUAUGUAUAGGAGAUGAAAUUCAAUUUAAGAGGGAUCUUUAUUCUAGAGGAAAAGACUCUCUGAAAAAACAUUUAUAAAUUAGACUUCCACAAUGAUUUUAUGCUCCCUUGGUGGCUAUACAUUUCUUCAAUCCUGUCCAGUUGGUUGCUGUGGAAGCAGUUGUUGUCCAGAAAACGAAUUGUUUGGAGGUGAGUUAACAGGAAUUAUAACAGGAUCGCUGGCGUUCUUGUUGUUUAUCAUAAUUACUCUGAUACUUGUUUGGUAUAAAUCAGAUGAUAUGAACAGAAAUAGAUGGAAACAAAUUUCAAUAGUAUGACAUAAAAUAAGACAACCAACGACGAAACAGUUGAACAUUUUCUUCCGACUUAUUGAUGUUCACAUCGAGGCAAUGUGACAGCUGAUGAUACUUGAUUAUUCUCCAAAUAGAUAAAUAGAUAUAGGAUCCAAAUGAUUAAAGACUUGAUUGGAAAUAUCAGACAAACAUUAUGUUCGAGGAGAUACAUAUCAAUGCUGAAAAGUUAUAGAAAUUGAGAAGCAAUGUUCCCCAAAACAUGACAUUCUUUUAUAAACCUUGAUCUAAAUGUGUUGUUUGACUAUAGAUAAAGUUUUCUCAUCGAAAGGGGAACCUAUCAAGAUAUUACUUAUUUCCUUUAUCAUAUUCAUUAUUAUUGUUUUGUAAACUUUAGAAAAUAUUUUAUAUCCUAUAGUUCCAUUCAUCUUUGUUUCUUUGCGCAACAGUGUUAUCAGAAAUGAUGGCGUAAUCUGUCAAGGGUGGAGAUGAGGGGAAUUGAUCGUUACCCUUGGCUAAAGAAGAUGAAUUCCAUUAAGAAACGAUUAGCAAAAGCAUGAAACCAUGAAAACAAUAUCUGCUAAGAAACUUCCCUGCUAAACUUA